rnacentral:lncRNA from 1 species
CAUGAUUCCCUUGGUCAUUGCCUCGAAAACCCCCUGAUUAUUAACAUAAUUCGCCUCUUCUUCAAGCUCUCCAUCCACUCGGUCCUGAGACGUUAAAGCUUUUACUUUCUCAGUCUUCCCUGACAAUAAGUGCUUAUUGAGCACGUCCAUCUGAAUCUUUAGAUGGGCCAUGCCUUGAUCCCGCUUCUUAUCUCUCCUAUAUUGUUCAGCAGAUAUACCAACUGAAACAGCGGGGCUUGCUACCACAGACUCAUUGGUAUGCCAAGCCCGACUCUGUUUGGUCAUCCUAUUUAGCAUAUCUAAGGCAUCUUAAAAAGACAGAUCAACAAACGAACCACCAACAGCAUUAUCUAUAAUCGACUUUAUUAUAGAGUUGAGGGCCCUGUAUAAAGUCUCCAUCAAGUGUAAGUCCGUCAUAUUGUGAUUCGGACAUUGUGUUAGCUUCUUCUUGAAUAUCUCUCAAGUCUCAAGCAAAACUUCAGUAGGGAGAUGUCUAAAACUGCUGAUUUCGUCCCUCAACUGUACCCUUCUAGAAGGUGGAAAAAAACAUUCUAGGAACGCUUCUUUCAAUUGCCUCCAGUUGUUGACGGAAUCAGGCAUAAGCUCAUUCAGCCAUAAUGUUGCCUCCCCAAACAGAGACAACGGAAAAAACCUCAACCGCACUCCUGGGUUAUCAAAAGAUUUGCAAAUGGUGACAAAAUUCACCAGAUGCAGGUUCGGAUCAUCCCCAGGAAGGCCACCAAACAACCCCUUCAGAUUGAGGAGUUGGAUCAUAGUACUCGUAAUAUUGAACUUGGCUCUAGGUGCCAACGGUGGAGGAAUAAUUGCACCUGCCCCGUCUAUGCCAUUGUCAUCAUCAUUCAGAUCAUACUGGAUCGGCUGGUACUCUUGUCUUCUUUGGAAUGGACGGUUUCGGUUAACAUUACGUGGCACUUGUGCAGCUAUCUGCUCUGCACACCUUGGGUUACCAGGGUUCAAUAACUCUUCGUCCCCCAAAUCUUUGUCCUCAGGGUUUGGAUGUCGAGCAUGUUGCCCGACAUUUUGCAUAUUCACCUGAGCUUUAGCUAAGGCUGCCAGUCUGUCAGUCUCUUGCUGUUCUGUCAUUCUUCCUAUUCGUUGCGGUUCUGAAUUUAGUGGUAAUAAUGUUUCUCCGGAACUUCUGGUGCUUGGCAUACACUAUAUAAUCCUGCAAAUAAACAAAAACAACAAAUAAACGUAAAUCUAGGAAACUUAACUAACAGUCAAUUAGCGCAUACAAACUUCAGCUUACAACCGUAUUCCUCGACAGCAGCACCAUUUUUGAUAAUACUCAAACUACACUCUUGAAUGGGUGUAAGCGAUCGUUGUCAAUAUAAAACCCAACUAGGUUGGGGUUGAAUCCAACAGGGAAUAUGGUGUGAACUCAAGUUGUUUAUGAUUUAAUCCACUGAUAGUUUAAUAUUUCCUAAAAUGGGGGGAGGGGGUAAGUUUAACAAGUUGUUGUUUGUCACUUUACUUUCGGUGUUUGUAAAUCAAAAGUUUAUGAAAUAACCAGAAUUAUGUUCACUAGGGCUUCCGUUUCAUGACAGGUGCUAAAAAUGGUUCAAGAUUCUCACAGUGGGUAGGAUGACAAGCUAUCUUUAUCAAUGUUAUGCUUAAAUGUCUCUCGACCUACUUAAGCGUUUAAUUCCCUAAUCCUCUUAGACUUAGGGAAUUUCUAUUUAAUGCCCAGAUUUUACCUCAGGUUAACCAACCUUGUUACAGCGCUGAUUAUUAAACGAAGUAUUUUCGAGUCCCCGUUGAUAAUUUACUUCCUACUAUAUUUGAUUUCUUUCACAAGUAAAUCAAAGCAGGAGUGUCUACUGUUUGCAACCAACAGACGUUAAUUAAAACUUCAGAAUUAUCAAGAAAUCCUACCACCUUUUGAAUCUUAAAUACUUAGCACCUCAUCAAGACCUAACCCUAGAUCCCAUAACUCAGGUUAAUGGAGUUUAGCCACUCAUGAUGUAACGAAUGAAACACAUAAUUGAAUUCACGAUUUGAAAGAUAAACUUACAGAGAUGAAUAAUAACUAGUGAAUCGCAGAUUAGAUCACAAAGGAAAAAUCUCAAAAUACUGAUAAUAAUCUCUCAAAAAUAAUUGGGUUGUUAAAGUCAAGAAGUAAAGAGAAAAAAUAUCAAACUAUGUUGUUCAAAACUCCAGGUGUCGACCUUGUGCGGAAUAAUAAUAAUAAUAAUCCUCCCUAGAAAACCCUAAAACAAAGCUUUAAAUACUUACCCUAAAUAAGGAAACAAAUUAAUAAAAAUUAGAAAUCCUUCGGAUUAGCCGAUGACAUUUGUGAUAGCUUAUCAGAAAGCUGAAGACUUAUAACAAAUGUCGUCAGCUUCUUCUUCAGUUUUGGCUCUUCCUUCUUAAGGCUGACGACAAACUUGAUAACCUAUCAGCUACGUGACGACCUAUUACAAAAUGUCGUCAAGGCUUUGCUUCAGUUCUCCUUGGCUGCCUUAGGCUGAUGACAUUUUUGAUAACUUAUCAAACCCUCGACGGCUUAUCACAAAAUAUCAUCACAACUUCCACUUUAGGCCAAUUCUCUGUAUACUGAUGGCGACCAACCUGAUAGCUUAUCACAGGGCUGACGACUUAUCACAAAUAUUGUCAGCCAUACUUGUCUUUAGAUUUCUUCAAAUUUCAACUUCUUUGCUUUAUUUCAUGUUGGUUCUCUAUCAUAUCAGCUUAAACUGCAAAAUCAAACAUAAACUAAUAAAAAAUAACUAAAGUUGCUGAAGACCUUGUAAUUAUUUAUAGUUAAAAGCCUCAAAUGUGUAAGCAUAUGCUCACACAUCACUCACCCGAGUUUUCCCUCCAUCUUACAUGUCCUUAAUAGCUCUGAUGUAUGCCACAUGCACUCCUCUUACCUCCAAACAUCUCCGAAGAAGCUCCCUAGGGACUCUAUCAUACGUCUUCUCUAAAUCGAUGAACACCAUGUGCAAAUCCCUCUUCCUUUCCCUAUACUGCUCCACCAAUCUUCUCACCAGGUGAAUUCCCUCUGUCGUCGAGCGACCAGGCAUAAAACCAAACUGAUUCUCUAAAUUGGACAUGACCCUCCUCAAUCUCCGGUCAACCACCCUCUCUCAAAUCUUCAUAGUGUGACUCAACAGCUUAAUUUCCCUAUAGUUAUUACAACUCUGAAUGUCACCCUUGUUUUCAUAUAAAGGAAUCUUCGUACUCCAUCUCCAAGCCUCAGGCAUUCUCGCAGUCGUGAAAAUGGUGUUGAACAAAUCAGUCAUCCACCUUAAGCCUUCCUAACUAGCAUACUUCCAAAAAUCCACCGGGAUCUCGUCGGGCCCCAUCGCCCUACCCCUCCGCAUUCUAUGAAUAGCCUCUCUGACCUCUUCAACCUAAAAAAGUCUACAGUAACUGAAAUCGCGGCUCUCCUCUGAGCGCUCCAACUCCCCUAACACAAUGCCUCUGUUCUCUUCCUUGUUUAAAAACCUAUGAAAAUACUCCUGCCAUCUUUUCUUAAUAUGAACAUCUUUCACCAACGCUCUACCGUCCUCCCCCUUAAUGCACUUCACUUGAUCGAGGUCACGAACCUUCCUCUUCCUAUCCUUAGCAAGCCUAUACAACCUUUUUUCCCUGCCUUUCUCCUCUACCCCCGCAUACAAACCCUCAAACGCAGCUGUCUUAGCCGCCAAAACUACUAACUUAGCCUCUUUCCUUGCUACUUUGUAGACCUCCCUAUUCACUUGCUUAUCCUCUUCAUCCUUACUCUAAAUCAACUGAACAUACGCCCCAUUCUUGAUCUUCAUUUUCUUCUUAACUUCCUCAUUCCACCACCAGUCCCCCUUAUGUCGUCCUGGCUGACCCCUCAAAACACCCAACACCUCUCUAGCCGCCUCCCUGAUGCAGCUGGCCGCCUUAUCCCACAUUAUAUCCACGUCCCCCUAUACUUCCACACCCCCAUUACUUCCACCUUCUCACCUAUCUCCAGUGCACUAACAGGCGUCAAGCCACCCCACUUAAUUUUGGGUCAACUCUCUCCGGCCCUAGUCUUCUUAUUCUUCUUGAUAAUCAAGUCCAUCACUAGAAGCCUGUGCUGAGUCAAAAGAUGCUCACUCGGAUGAUUUUACAAUUCUUACACAUAGCCCUAUCCCCCUUUCUAAGCAGAAGAAAGCCAAUCUGAGUCUUGGCUGAAGCGCUUCAGGAAGUAAUCAGGUGAUUCUCCUUCUUUGGAAAGUUCGAAUUGACAACCACCAGUCCAAAGGCCCUCGCAAAAUCCAACAGAGCAACCCCCUCACCAUUUCUGCCAUCGAAACCAAACCCUCCAUGCACAUCAUUAAAACUACCCAGAAAAACCCCAAUGUGCCCAUUGAAGUCCCAUUCUAUGACAAUCUUCUCCGAGCUAGGCACGCUACACACCACCUCGUCCAAAGCCUCCCAAAAGUUUAUUUUCACCUCUUAAACCAAGCCCACCUGUGGCGCUUAAAUACUACACACAUGCAGCGUAAACCCCCCCAAUGACCAACUGAAUCAUCAUCAGCCUAUCACUUACCCUCUUAACCUCCACCACCUGCCUUCUUAGCUCCUCAUCCACUAAAAUGCCCACUCCAUUAUGACGCCUCUCACUACCUGAGUACUACAACUUGUACCUAUCCACAUCCAUAGCCUUAGAUCCUACCCACUUAGUCUCCUGGACACACGCAAUAUUAAUCUCCUCUUCUUAAGAAUCUUCACCAACUCUACGGACUUACCCUGAAGGGUCCCAAUGUUCUAAGAUCCUAUCCUCAACUUAUUUCUUCUUGCCUUUCGCCUGUUUCUACCACCCCUCACUUGACCAGCCUGAAUACCCAGCCUAGACCCCACACCCACCCCUGUUCUUCCCUCUCCCUCCUCUUCCAAAAUCGCCCCAAACUUUAACCCCCUCAGACAUGACCCUACUCCAUCAACCCCCGCGGCCACUACUUAAUACACAUAACAAAGGCCCCACACCGACCAGCUGACAGACAGACAAACAAACAAAGUAAUAGUAUGAAAACAGUAGGCGAACAACAGAUACGCACACGAACACACUAUCGACCUCUCAGCUAGAACCACUCAAUAAUACCCACCACUAAGCGAGCCAGGUACAAUUAUAGUCAUAAGAACUGAAAGCAGAAAAACAAUACAAAAAACAAAUAAUUCAGGAAAUUAAAUUGUACUGCGUACGUAAACAAUAAGGAGUAACACAAUAAAACCGUGAAACUAAAUAGUAAGAGAAAUCGAAUUAUGAAAUUUGGGAUGGGUAAUUUGGGAAGGAGGGACUAUUAUUUAUAUUCUUAAACUCUGUGUCAAGUCAAAAUCAGACAAACAAAUCAAAACACAUAGACUAAUAUCCAACUAAAGAGCUUUUACAAGAACUUUAAAAAAAAAACUAAACACAGAACUUCGUAAUGAAAAUAAUUAAAGGAAUUCAAGAAAGGUAGAGUCUUUUUACUUGUUUUUCAACAUUUCCUUUAAUUUUAUUAUUCUAUUUUUUAUUAUUUUUACUUUUUAUUUUUUCCUUUAAUUUUAUUUUCAUGUUUUAAUUCAUCUGUCUUAACCUUUAUUUUUUUUCUCUUUUUCCUUUUUUUUCUCAAGCAUUAUCUAUUUCUUUUUUUUUUCUUUUUUUAAUUCAUUUGUCUUUAACCUUUAUUUUUUUUUAUUUUUUGUCUUUACUAGUUCUUUUUUUAUCCCUCAUUUUUUCUCAAACUUUAUUUUUAUUUUUUCCUCUCAUUUUUUAUUUUCUCAAUUUUUUAAAUUCUUCAUUUUUUAUUAAUCUUUAUUUUUUUCUUGCCUUUUUUUUCUCACUCUUUUUUUAUUUCUCAAUUUUGUUUGGUCGUUUUUUUCUUUUUUCAGUUCUCUUUUUUUUUCUCAUUUUUGUCAAACUUUAUUUUAAUUUUUUCUCUCAUUUUUAUUUUUCUCAAUUUUUUAAUUCUUCGCUUUUUUCUUGAUCUUCAUUUUUUUCCCUUUUUUCUCAAUUCUUUUUUAUUUCUCUAUUUUGUUUGAUCAUUUUUUUUUCUCAACUUCUAUUAUAUCUUGCUAAUAAAUAAAAAAUUGGAUAAUACGCAAAGGUAUCUUUUUUUAGACAUCAAAGCAAACUUAAGAGCAUGAAUUGGUGUUACGAGUUUCUUUGAAAAUUCUUGAGAUAAGUCGUGUCAAUAAGGCGAGAGUUGGAGAAUAUCUCAUAAAUAAAGGCACAAUGUGGUAGUGUCAACUCUUUUCCAUGGGGCAUAAUUUAUUAUUUGAAAUUCCUUGAGCUAAGUCUUUCCUUUAAGGCAAAAGUUGUAGAACAUCCCAUAAAUGAAGACAUAACGUGGUAGUGUCAAUCUAGCCCGUGGAGCAUAGUUUUUGAGCUAAGUCUUGCCUCUAAGGCAAGAGUUGUAGAACAUCUCAUAAUUAAAGACAUAACGUGGUAGUGUCAACUUUUGCUCGUGGGGCAUAAUUUGUAGUUUGAAAGUCCUUGAGCUAAGUUUUGCCUCUAAGGCAAUAGUUGUAGAACAUCUCAUAAAUAAAAACAUAACGUGGUAGAGUCAACUCUUGCCCAUUGGGCAUAAUUUCUAGUUUGAAAGUCCUUGAGCUAAUUAAGUCUUGCCUUUAAGGCAACAGUUGAAGAAUAUCUCAUAAAUGAAAACAUAAUGUGGUAGUGUCAACUCUUGCCCGUGGGGCAUAAUUUGUAGUUUGAAAGUCCUUGAGCUAAGUCUUGACUCUAAGACAAUAGUUGUAGAACAUCUUCUAAAUAAAAAUAUAACGUGGUAGAGUCAACUCUUUCCUGUGGGGCAUAAUUUGUUGUUUGAAAGUCCUUGGGCUAAUUAAGUCUUGCCUCUAAAACGACAAGAGUUGAAGAACAUCUCAUAAAUGAAAACAUAAUGUGGUAGUGUUAACUCUUGCCCGUGGGGCAUAAUUUGUAGUUUGAAAGUCCUUGAGCUAAGUGUUGCCUCUAAGGCAAUAGUUGUAGAACAUCUCGUAGAUGAAAACAUAAUGUGGUAGAGUCAACUCUUACUCGUAGGGCAUAAUUUGUAGUUUGAAAGUCCUUGAGCUAACUAAGUCUUGCCUCUAAGUAAAUAGUUAUAGAACAUCUCAUAAAUGAAAACAUAACUUCGUAAAGUCAACUCUUACCCAUGGGGCAUAAUUUGUAGUUUGAAAGUCAUUGAGCCAAGUCUUGCCUCUAAGGCAAUAGUUGUAGAACAUCUCAUAAAUGAAAAUAUAACGUCGUAGAGUUAACCCUUGCCUGUGGGGCAUAAUUUGUUGUCUGAAAGUCCUUGAGUCAAGUCUUGCCUCUAAGGCAAAAGUUGUAAAACAUCUUAUAAAUUAAAACUUAAUGUGGUAGAGUCAACUCUUGCCCGUAGGGCAUAAUUUGUUAUUUGAAAGUCCUUGAGCUAAGUCUUUCCUCUAAGGCAAUAGUUGUAGAGCAUCUUAUAAAUGAAAAUAUAACGUGGUAGAGUCAACUCUUGCCCAUGAGGCAUAAUUUAUUGUUUGAAAGCCCUUGAGCUAAGUUUUGCCUCUAAGACAAUACUUGUAGAACAUCUCAUAAAUGAAAACAUAACAUGGUAGAGUCAACUCUUGCCUGUGGGACAUAAUUUGUAGUUUGAAAGUCCUUGAGCUAGGUCUUGCCUCUAAGACAAUAGUUGUAGAACAUAUCAUAAAUCAAAAUACAAUGUGGUAGUGUGGACUCUUGCCCAUGAAAUGUAACUUGUUGUUUGAAAGUCCUUGAGAUAAGUCUUGCCUCUAAGCCAAUAGUUGUAGAACAUCUCAUAAAUAAAAACAUAACGUGGUAGAGUCAACUCUUGACCGUGGGAUAUAAUUUGUUGUUUGAAAGUUCCUGAGCUAAGUCUUUCCUCUAAGGUAAGAGUUAUAAAACAUCUCAUAAAUCGAAAUACAAUAUGGUAGUGUCGACUCUUGCCCAUGAAACAUAAUUUGUUGUUUGAAAGUCAUAAUUCUUGCCUCUACAAUGUAGUAGUUUCAAGUCUUGCCCAUGAAACGUAGCUUAUUGUUCAAAAGUCGUAAGUCUUGCCUUUAUAAUGUGAUAGUGUCAACUCUUGCUAAUGAGAUAUAACUUGAAUGGAAGAAAUCGAAGAAAAGAACAAAAAUAAUAAAAAUUGUGAAAAAAAAGAAAAUGAAGAAAAAUAUUUUUUUUAAAAUCAAAGAAAAUGUAGAAGUUGGGAGAGAAUAGGAAAACAAUAAAGGUUGAUAAAAAAAAGAAAUAUUAAAUAAAAAUAAAGGUCGAGAAAAAAUUAAAAAGAAAAAAAUUAAAGAAAUAUAAAAAAAAUUAUUUUAUAAAAGUAGACGAUGAAAGGUGUAAGGGAAAAAAAGUAAGGGUUGAGAAAAACUAAAAAUAACAAAAAAAAAGGAAAUAAAAAAUAAAAAAUAAAAAUAAUAUAAAAGAAAAAAGAAAAAAAAAAGAGAAGUUGAGAGGAAAAAAGGAAAAAGUAAGGGUUGAGAAAAUUAAAAAUAAAAAUAGAAAAGAAAAAAUAAAAAUCAAAGUAAAAUUAAAAAGAGAAAAAAAUAAAAGUUGAAAGAUAUAAAUAUAGAGUUGUUAUCCAAUAUGAGGAUCAUUUAUGUAAUUUACUCCAUUGAUCAGGGGCAAUUUUGUCCAAAAAAAUUGGUUAAUACGUAAAGGCUAUUUUAAGGAAGUUUUUUUAUUUGGGGCUAAAAUUUGAAAGUCUCCCCAAUUUGGGUCUAUUUUUAAGAUUCAAAGCAUAGAGACCGUGCAAGCACGGUCCAACAUAGAUUAUUUUUUUAUCUUAAUUUAUGUGAUAUUGUUAAGUUUUUAAGAGUUAAUUAAAUUUCUUGAAUGAUUUUUAAAUAUUUUAAGUUAUUAAUUAUUGUGAUGUAUAAUACUUUAUAAUUUUGUAGAUAAUAUAUGUUACUUUUGUUAUUUCAAUUUAUGUGACACCUAUGAAAUUUGGAGAGUCAAUAAAAAAUUUUAUAUAAUUUUUAAAAUGUCAUGUUAUUUUUAAAUAUUUUAAGUUGUUAAUUAUUAUAAUGUAUAAUCCCUUUACAUAAUUUUCAGAUAAUAUAUUUUGUUAUUUCUAUUUCAAUUUAUAUGCAUUGAUAAAAUUUAGAGAGUCAACUAAAUUUUUUUAUACACAUUUUGAUUUUUUAAUUAUUGUAAUUUAUAGUACUUUCUACUAUUUUUUCAAAUAAUAUAUCUUACUCCCUCUGCCGCAAUAUAUGUGAGUGUGAUAGUAUUUAACGAAUCAAUUAAAUUUUUUAUAUGUUGUUAAAUAAUUUAAGUUGUAUAUUUUUAAAAAAUUUUUAAGUUGUUAAUUAUUGUGAUUUAUAAUAUUUUUACGUAGUCUUUUAAAAUAUAAAACAGAUUAAAUUUUUUUAGAAUUUGAAACUGUUAACUAUUAUAAUUUAUAAUAUUUAUAACUAUUAUAUAUAUCACUCUCCUUAUCUAAACUUUUAUGGUAUUGAUAGUCAAUUAUAUAUUUAAAAUAAUUUAAGUUUUUUUAUUAUUGUGAUUUAUAAUAUUUUUCAACCAUUCUAAUUAAAGUGACACUGGUAUAAUUUUGAGAGUCCGUCAAAUAUUUUAUAUCUUUAAUUUGUUUUAAGUUGUUAAUUAUUGUGAUUUAUAGUAUUUUUUAUGUAUUCGUUUGGUCUCAAUUUAUGUGACAUAAAUAAAAUUUAGAUAAUCAAUUAUAUUUUUAUAUUUUUUUUAGAUAUGUUAAGUUGUUAGCUAUUGUAAUUUAAAAUACUCUCUCCUUGUCCAAACUUUUGUGGCAUUGAUUGUAAAUUAUAUUUUAAAAAUAAUUUAAGUUUUUAAUUAUUGUGAUUUAUAAUACUUUUAUUUAUUUAUAUUUAAGUGACACUGAUAUAAUUUUGAGAGUCAACCGAAUAUUACGAUUGAAGUAGCGAAAGAUCUUGUCUUAAAUGACUCAUAAUAAUUAAUUACAAGUGAUAUAACAAAAUUUUUAUAAAAAAACACUUGUGAAAAAAAUUUAAGUGAGUCUCAUAUAAAACGUCUAGUUAAUAUAAAACAUCAAGAGUUAAUUUAUCAUUUUAUGUCUAUUUUAUUUUUCUUAUUAAAUAUUAUUAAUUUUUAAUACUUAAAUGACUUAUAAUAAUUAAUUAGGGUGAUAUAGUAAAAUAGCGGUUUAAGCAGCUAAAACAAACAUGUUAUAAAUGUUUAUUUUUAUUCUUCUUAUUAAAUAUUACUAAUUUUCUAAUAAGUAAAUGACUUAUAAAAAUUAAUUUGGGAUGAUAUACUAAAAUCACGGGUAGAAGCAGUUGAAACGGAAAAGUCAUAAAUGUUUAUUUUCUUUUUUUAUUACAUAUUAUUAAUUUUUUAAUAUGUUAAUGAUUUGUAAUAAUUAAUUAUAGGCGAUAUAACAAAAUCACGAGUUGAAGCAGCUGAAGUAGACAUGUCAUAAAUAGUUAUUUAUUUUUUAUAUUAAAUAUUAUUAAUUUUGGAAUGUGUAAAUGAUUUACAAUAAUUAAUUAUGGGUGAUAUAGUAAAAUUAUGGGUUGAAGCAGCUGAAACAGAAAUAUCAUAAAUGAUUAUUUGCUUUUUUUAUUAAAUAAUAUUAAAUUUUUAAUAUAAUAAUUAUUUAAUUUUUUAAUUAAAUAAUAUUAAAUUUUUAAUAUCUAAAUAAUUUAUAAUAAUUAAUUAGGGGUGAUAUAGUAAAAUUACAGAUUAAACCAGCUGAAAUAGGUGGAAGCAGGGAGGAAAACCAAGAGGUGUCUGUUGAUGAUUAAUUAAUUAGGGAUGAUAUAGUAAAAUCACGAAUUGAAACAACUGAAUCAGGUUAAAGCAGGGAGGGAGGUGUCUGCUGAUGGCACUUAUUCCUUUCAACUCGAGAUUCUUGAUCAAAGUUAAAUUGCCUAAACCAACAGCUACCAAUUCAUGGCAUGGUAAUAUAUUUCAUUAUAUACAUUUUGCUUACUCCAUUGUAAAGUAUUGUCCUUGGCAUUAUUUUAGUUGUUAUGGUACAAAAAGAAAUUGUUUAAUUUCACGGACAAUUAUGUUGAUCACUUUUCUUCUUUCUUGCUUGUCAGUGGUUAAUGAUGUUGGCUUUCAAUUAUCAUUGCGGCCAAAAUUUAUAUAAUUUUGACAUGGGGUUGUUAAACGUCCAAACAAAUCACGUUCAUAAUGUUCAAAGAAUGACAUUUUAAUUAUUUUUUAACCCUUUUCUGAUGUUCCUCUAAAGUUAAAUAAUUUUAUAUCCUUUUUAUUAAAAAAAAUAUUUAUAAUAUUAUCUCUCUACCUUGUUAUUAGUGAAAAAUAAAAAAACUUUUCUAUGCAUACAUAUUUGUCCUUUUCAAUGUUUCAUUAUAUUCUUUUAUUCUUUCCAUAUUUUUAUAAUUAUUUUAUUGUUUUACUAUAAGCUAACUUCCUACUUUUGUCUACCCAAUAUACACUUUCAUAUUUUAAUUCAAAAUUUUCACCCACCAACCCUCCCCCUGAACCAAACCCCGCUAUGGUACUUUUAAAUCAUAGACAAUAUCAUUUCAAUUAUGAAAGUAUAUUUUGUUGGGUUCAAUUAAUGUGAAUGGAGAAUGGAGGUAUACAACCCUUUGAGGAAAAAGACACAUUAUUUUAGAAAAGGAGUGACUAUUCGGAUAGUUGUGACUGUUCAGAAAAAAGACACAAUCUUUCGAAUGAACAAACAUGACUCUUCCAUAGAUUUAAAAUGAAAAAUUUCUGUAUAAGAAAAAUAUUCUCUUACUUCUAAAAACUCUGUGUGAUCAUCUCCUAUUGAGUGAGUUCGAAAAAAAUCAGAAAGUUUGAGGUAUCGCUACAUUUUGAUUGUGAAGCCAUUUUAUCCUGGGAGGAAAAUUCUGCAACCUCGGGUACUUGAGGAGAAUUAUUUCCUUAAGGACACUCCGUGAAGUUGGAGGACUUGGCCUUAAAAUUUUAUUUCAUCUUAUUUCUGAAAUAACAACAUACUUCUUGGAUAGAUUAUUUAUAAUCUUGUGUUGGAGGAGUUGUGUAAAGCGCAAGAAAACAGGACAUGAAAGCAAUCAAUCUAAGAAAAAAUUCAAGGAAAAAUGCUUUGACUGUGGUAAGAUUGGCCACAAGUCCACGGAUUGUCGUGCCCCAAAAAAAGGGAAGAAGAAGGACCAAGCAAAUAUUGCUGAGUCCAAGAAAGACGUCGACGACCUGUGUGUUGUGUUUUCUAAAUGCAACAUGAUGGGAAAUCCUCGCGAAUGAUGGAUGAAUUCUGGUGCCACCCGUCAUGUUUGUGCUAAUAAGGAGUUAUUUGCUACUUUUGCUCAGGCUCAAAGUGAAGAAAAGAUCUACAUGGUAAACUCCGCUACUGCAAAAGUAGAAGGAACAGGAAAAGUGUGCUUGAAAAUGACUUCAGGCAAAGUGUUGACACUCAACAAUGUCCUAUAUGUUCCGGAGUUAAUAAAGAACUUGAUUUCUGUAUCACUUCUAGACAAAAAUAGAUUCAAAUGUGUAUUUAUUUCCGAAAAAAUUGUACUUAGUAAAGGUGAAGUGUAUGUAGGAAAAGGCUACCUCAAUGAGGGCCUAUUCAAAAUAAAUGUAAUGAAUAUUGAAAUCAAUAAAAGUUUAGUUUCUUCUUACUUUCUUGAGUCUUAUGAUUUAUGGCAUGAGUGAUUAGGCCAUGUUAAUUACAAAAAAUUGCGUAAACUAAUUAACUUAGAAGUUUUGCCAAACUUUGAGUGCAAUAAAUCAAAGUGUCAAACAUGUAUGGAAUCAAAGUAUGUUAAGCAUCCGUAUAAGUCCGUUGAAAGAAAUUUCAAUCCCUUAGACUUAAUCCACACUAAUAUUUGUGAUAUGAAGUCAACACCAUCUCGUGGUGGAAAAAAGUAUUUUAUAACUUUUAUAAACAAUUGCACUAGAUACUUUAUGUCUAUUUGCUAAAUAGUAAGGAUAAAGCAAUUGAAGUAUUUAGGUAAUAUAAAACUGAAGUUGAAAAUCAGUUAGAGAAAAAGAUCGAAACGAUAAGAAGUAAUAGGGACGGAGCAUAUGAAUCUCCCUUUUGUGAAAAUAUGUGUAGAGAAUGGAAUUGUCCAUCAAACUACAGCCCCAUAUUCACCUCAAUCUAAUGGAAUUGCGGAAAGGAAAAAUCGAACCUUGAAAGGAAAUAAUGAAUCUCUUACUUAUAAGUUUAGGUUCACUGCAAAAUUUGUGGGGGGAAAGUUAUCCUUACAGCUAACCGAAUACUUAAUAGAGUGCCCCAUAGUAAGACAAAAUCAUUUUCAUAUGAAAAAUUGAAAGGAAGGAAACCCAACUUAAAAUAUUUCAAAAUGUGGGGGUGUCUAGCGAAGGUCCAAGUUCCUAUGCCUAAAAGAGUAAGGAUAGGACCUAAGACGGUGGACUGCAUGUUCAUAGGAUAUGCUAAAAGUAGUAAAGCAUGUCAAUUUUUGGUUCAUAAGUCCGAACAUCCGGAUAUCAAUAAAAUAUGGUAAUUGAAUCAGAUAAUGCUGAAUUCUUUGAACACAUUUAUCCGUAUAAAACUAGACAUGAACAGUCUAAUGGGGGUCCUAAAUGACCUCGAGAUAAUCCAAGUGAGAAUAUACAUAAUGAUAAGAAUCCAAGGCGUAGUACACGUCAAAGAACGUCAACUUCGUUUGGAUCAUAUUUUGUAACAUUUCUAUUAGAAAAUGAGCCUCAAAUAUUUAAAGAAGCGAUGGCGUAUUCGGACUCAUCCUAUUGGAAAGAGGCAGUCGAUAGUGAGAUUGUUUCAUUCUUAAGCAACCAUAUGUGGGAGUUGGUUGAUCUUCCUUCAGGAAAUAAACCUUUAGGUUCUAAAUGUAUCUUCUAAAUGAAAAUGAAAGUUGAUGGUACUAUUGACAAGUACAAGGCAAAACUUGUGGUAAAAGGCUUUAAACAAAAGGAAGGUCUUGAUUACUUUGAUACAUACUCGCUAGCAAUGAGGAUAGCGUCAAUUUGGAUGUUAAUUGUCUUGGCGGCAGUAUAAGGUUUUGAAAUCCAUCAAAUGGCAGUACUAAAAAAAUCACAAAAACCGACCACACAAUGUGGUCAGAAAAAACAAACCACAUUUGGUCGGUUUUUUAAUUAUUUUAUUGAAAAAAAAAUUGUAAAAAAGCGACCACAUGUGGUCGCUUUUAUAUUUUAAAAUAUAAAAAUAAUCAUUUCAAUAAUUUUUAUAUUAAUUAUUUUUUUUUUACAAAUAAAAAUUAAUAAAAAAUAACAAACCGACCACUUGUGGUCGAUUUUAUUUAAAAAAUUAUAAUUAAAAAAUAUUUUUAAAAAUCGACCAUAUGUGGUCGGUUUUAUAAAUUAUUUUUUUUAAAAAAACGAUCACUUGUAGUCGGUUUUUUAAUUUUUUUUUGAAAAAAAUAUAUAUUUUAAAAAUUACACCACAUGCGAUCAGUUUUUAACGAAAAAAUAAAUUAAAAAACUAAUUUUAAUAAACCGACCACAGAUGGUCGGUUUUUAAAUAAAAUAAAAAGAAAGUAAUUUUUAAAAAUCGACCACAUGUGGUCGGUUUUUAAUUAAAAUAAAAAUAAAUUUUUAAAACCGACCAUUUGUGGUCGGUUUUGAAAUUGAAAAAAAGAAAAAAAAGAAAUGAUUAUUUUUUAAAAAUAAUUAUAUAAUCUAAUAUUUACUUUAUGUAAUCUAAUUAUUAUUAGUAGUAAAGAUAAUAUAUUAGAUUAUAUAUAUAUUCUAAUAUAUUUAAUUUAUCAAAAAAUAAUCUAAUAUAUUAUUUUUUAAAAUUAUAUUGAUUACACGUAGUCAAUAACCAAUAUAAUAAUAAUAAAAAUCAAUAAAUCUUAGAUUUUAUGAAAAAACUUACACUAAACAAUAUAUCAAAUAAAAUAUACAAGUUACGUUAAACGUAAUCUUUUUCUUUUACUUAUGUUUCAAUAUAUAAAAUAAAUAUUUUCCUUUAUAUAUACGUUAAAUGACAUUAAACAUGCAUAAUCUUUGUAUAAUGAAUAUGUGUAUAUGUAUAUAUAUAUAUAUAUAUAUAUCAUACUGUUGAGAUAGAUAACUGAAAAAUGAUGUUUAUAGUACGUAUUUGAAAGCUGAAAACUGAUGUUUAUAUAGUACGUAUUUGAAAGCUGAUGUUUAAUGUAAUAUAUAACUGAUAAUUCACCAGAAUAUAAUGAACGUGUUAUAUUAUAAGGUAAUAUACUUGUGGAUGUGAUGUACGUAAUAUGUAGUUAAAAUUAAAGCUAAUGAAAUAUAUCCAGUUAUAUAUUGGAUAUACUGAUAUCAUGCGAUCGAUCAAGGUGAUAUAUAGUAUACUGUUGAAGUUAUAAUAACAUAAGAUAAACUAACCGAUGUAUCAAAACCUAUUAGAAUCUAUCCAAACAUAUUGAAUACCUUGAUUUGAAACGACAGAAGUAAUAAUAUACACUAUGUGUUGAAGUUAUAUUAAUGUAAGCUAAUCAAAUUAAUCAAUCACUUAUCAGAGUAUGUAUAUGAAAUACGCCGCAUUAUAUUAUUGGAUCGUAUACUCAUAUAUGUAUGUGAUGUAUAUAGUACAUAUUUAGAACUUGAUUUAAUCGAUGGUGUUUAUAUGCGUGUGUAUGUAUAGGAAUAUAUAUAGUAUAUACAUAUUAUAUAAUGAAGGUAUAUUAAUGACAUAAGAUAAUCUAACGAUAAUUCAUUUGAUUAUAUGUGAAAUACAUUGUAUAUUAUUAUGGGAAUGCAAAAUUAUGUAUGCAUGUGAUGUUUAUAGUACGUAUUUGACAUCCAAUUUUGACCGUUAGAUACUCCUUUUAGGUUGUUGUUUUGUAAAAAUUAUUAAUUUCAAAUAUUAAUAUUUUUUACACAUUAUUCUUGUAUCAAAAAGAUAUUGACGUGUCACAUUCAUGAUUUAAAAAAUAUACAAAGUAUUUUUAUGCAUUAUUCUUGUAUCAUAUAAAUAACGAUGCGCCACAUUCAUGAUUUUAAAAAAAUGUACAAAUUAUUUUAUUUCCUUUUAGUAUCAUUUUUACAAUUUACUAACUCAAAUACAAUAUUUUACAUAAUUUUAUUAACAUUUAUUAAAUUAUUGUUUUCGUAAAUAGGCAUACUUACAAUUUACAAAUAAAUUAUUAUUAUUAUUAUUAUUAUUAUACGUAACAUUAAUUUUUACAUCAAUGUCUCAUGAUUUUUUUCUUUUGUCAUUGUUACAAUAGCAGCCGAUUUCAAUUUAUUCUCUUAUGUAUUUAAAUUAUGGCCAAUUUGUAUUCAAUUAAUGUUAAUUUCAGCCAAUUAAACAUUAAUUUUAAUUCUUAACCCAUUUUAAAAUUAUUCUAAUCUAAACCUCGAUCAAAAUCAAUCCGACGGCCAAGAUCACAUUUCUAUUUUCUUUCCUUUUAAACCAAACCUAACCUUAAUUUCCCACAACAUCCGUAUUUUCUAUAUUCUUUCCCUUUCUCUUUCUUUCCUCCACUCUCUCUCCAACAAGAACCACCAGUUACCUACUUGCAGCCGUCGUCCUUUCCUUCUCCGACGAACAACCAAUAAUAUAGCCACCAUAUCCCUCACUCUUCUCUCUCCGUCGUCUCUUCUCCAUCAACACCAGCGAGAACAACCACCAAACGAUACUCACCAGCGAAAUCCCUCAAGCCGCUUCCGCCAGCUCCCUCCAUUCAUACUGGUAAUGACAGUCACUAGUGUGACAGGUUGUUAGACAUCAUAUUUUUUUAUUGCUUGUUAGACAUCAUAUUUUUUAUUGGAUCUCAAAACUUGCUUGAUUAAUUGGUGGCUCUCUGUUAGCCUAGAUAAUCUUUACUGUUGUUAUAUGCGUGUUAUGUAUAGUUGGAUUAUGUGUGUUGACACCCAAUUUUGACCUCCCAAUACCAUUUUUUAGGCUGUUAUUUUAUCAAAAUUAUUUAAUUUUAAUUAUUAAUAUUUUUACACGUUAUUCUUAUAUUAAAUACAUGUUGACGUGUCACAUUUUUAAUUUAGAAAAUGCACAAAUUAUUUUAUUAUCUUUUAGUAUCAUUUUUUUAAUUUUUAAACUCAAAUACGAUAUUUUAUGUAAUUUUAUUAAUAUUUAAUAGAUUAUUUUUUUACGUAAUUGUGCACACUCACAUUUUUUGCAAAUACAUUAGUGUUGCAUUAUUAUUAUUAUUAUUAUUUAUUAUUAUUAUCUAUUAUUAUUAUUAUUGUCAUUGUUAUUGAUAUUUUACGUAACAUUAAUUUUUACAUCAAUGUCUCAUUAUUUUCUCGUCAUUAUUACAAUAGCAGCCUAAGUCAAUUCAAUUACCUCCAAUUUAUUUAAAUUCUAGCCUUAUUUCAAUUUUAAAACAAUUUUCUAUCCCUUUCUCAAUUUUAAUCACAACCAUUUAUCUCAUCCGAUCAAUGGCUGAGAUCGAAUCCACCAUUUAUCACCCUCUUAAACAAAACCAACCCUAAACCCUAAUUGUAAAAGAGCCGCAGCUCCCCCCUCUCUCUACCUCUACAUUUCUCUUAUUAUCACCAGCAUCAAUGGCUGUCGUCGGCAGUCCCAGCGUCGGUGAAGCCCCUCAUCUCUCUCUACAAACCUCUCUCUCUCGUCUCCCUCUUUAAAGAUCAGCCACCGCCGGCAUGCGAACCAGCGCCGCCACAAAAUAGCAAAAACAGCCAUGAUAAGUCCCUGCAUUGCUCUCCUACACCGGUAAAACAACCGUUUCAGCCACGCCGCCAUCCAAUUCGGCCCCACCGACGAACAACCAGUGGCUACCCACACCACUAUAUGACCAGUCACCAUCAGAACCUGCCUCCACCAGCCGCGAUUCAGCCUCUCCUCUCGUCACCGAUCACGUUCUUGUUGAAAUUGAGGACCGGUGAGGACCAUUUUGGGGUCAACUAUUUUAUGGUUUGAUUCCUCAAUACUUUGAUUGCAUGUUUGUUUUCUUUGUUUUAAUUUGCAUGUUCUCUCUUCUAUAGGUGCAAAUUGCCUAAGUCAAUCUCUUAGAUCUAGUGUGUGUGAUAUCUGACUUUGAAUGUUGAUUCAAUUCAUUAAUUAUGUGUCUAUCUUUAGACUGUUAUGAAAACACCUUAGACUGUUAUGUGCAAAAUUUUCAAUCCUUUUGACACUCAAUAUGAUUACUGACUUUUGCUUGUUCUUGAAAGAUGUUUUACUUGGAAUAUGUAUGGUCUAAUUGAUGUUGACAGAAUUUGAAUUGGUGUUUAUGGUAAAAUACUGACUAUGCUGAUUCAGUGUACUGGUGGAAUUGAUUAAUUUGAUUAUUGUGUCUAAAUUACCUUAUGAUUUGUCAAUUAAAAAAAAACAACAAACUCAGUAUAUUCUCACCUAGUGGGGUCUGGGGGUGGUAAAAUAUAGUUAAGUGUGGACUUGUGUUUUGAAUUUAGUUAAGUGUGGUCACUUGAGAAGUGAAUAAGUACUUGAAAAUUUUUAAGUGUAGGUACUUGAAAUGUGGACUUAUGUUUUGAAUUUAGUUAAGUUUGGUCACUUGUGAAGUGAAUUAGUGACUUGAAAUGUUUAGGUGUAGUUACUUGAAUUAUGAACUUGUGUUUUGAAUUUAUUAAAGUGUGAUCACUUGAGAAGUGAGUUAGUGACUUGAAAACACAUAAGUGUAGGUACUUAAAAUGUGGACUUUUGUUUUGAAUUUAGUUAAAUGUGGUCACUUGAGAAGUGAAUAAGUACUUGAAAAUUUUUAAGUGUAGGUACUUGAAAUGUGGACUUAUGUUUUGAAUUUAGUUAAGUGUGGUCACUUGAGAAGUGCAUUAGUGAGUCGAAAAUGUUUAAUUGUAGGUACUUGAAAUGCGAACUUGUGUUUUGAAUUUAGUUAAGUUCGGUCACUUGUGAAGUGAAUUAGUGACUUGAAAUGUUUGGGUGUAGUUACUUGAAUUAUGAACUUGAGUUUUGAAUUUAGUUGUGUGAUCACUUGAGAAGUGAGUUAGUGACUUGAAAAUGCACAAGUGUAGGUACUUGAAAUGUAGACUUGUGUUUUGAAUUUAUUUAAGUGUGGUCACUUGAGAAGUGAAUAAGUACUUGUUGUUUAAGUGUAGGUACUUGAAAUGUGGACUUGUGUUUUAAAUUUAGUUAAGUGUGGUCACUUGAGAAUUGAGUUAGUGACUUGAAAAUGCAUAAGUGUAGGUACUUGAAAUGUUGACUUGUGUUUUGAAUUUAGCUAAGUGUGGUCACUUGAGAACUGAAUAAGUACUUGAAAAUAUUUAAGUGUAGGUACUUGAAAUGUGGACUUGUGUUUUGAAUUUAGUUAAGUGUGGUCACUUGAGAAGUGCAUUAGUGAGUCAAAAAUGUUUAAGUGUAGUAACUUGAAAGAUGGACUUGUGUUUUGAAUAUAGUUAAGUGUGGUCACUUGAGAAGUGAGUUAGUGACUUGAAAAUGUUUAAUUGUAGGUACUUGAAAUACGGACUUUUGUUUUGAAUUUAGUUAAGUGUGGUCACUUGAGAAGUGCAUUAGUGAGUCAAAAAUGUUUAAGUGUAGUUACUUGAAAGGUGGAUUUGUGUUUUGAAUAUAGUUAAGUGUGGUCACUAGAGAAAUGAGUUAGUGAUUCGAAAAUGUUUAAGUGUAGUUACUUGAAAGGUGGACUUGUGUUUUGAAUAUAGUUAAGUGUGGUCACUUGAGAAGUGAGUUAGUGACUUGAAAAUUUUUUAGUAUAGGUACUCGAAAUGUGAACUUUUCAUUUUGAAUUUAGUUUAGUUUGGUAACUUGUGAAGUGACUUAGUGACUUGAAAGUGUUUAGGUGUAGGUACUUGAAAUGUGAACUUUUCAUUUUGAAUUUAGUUUAGUUUGAUAACUUGUGAAGUGAAUUAGUGACUUGAAAAUGUUUAGGUGUAGGUACUUGAAAUGUGAACUUUUCAUUUUGAAUUUAGUUUAGUUUGGUAACUUGUGAAGUGAAUUGGUGACUUGAAAUGUGAACUUUUCAUUUUGAAUUUAGUUUAGUUUGGUAACCUGUGAAGUGACUUAGAGUCUUGAAAAUGCUUAGGUGUAGGUACUUGAAAUGUAACUUUUCAUUUUGGUAACUUGUGAAAUGAAUUAGUGACUUGAAAUAUUUAGGUGUAGGUACUUGAAAUGUGAGCUUUUUCAUUUCGAAUUUAGUUUUGUUUGUUAACUUGUGAAAUGACUUAAUUAGUGACUUUUGUUUUGAAUUUAGGUACUUGAAAUGUGAACUUGAAAUGUGACUUUUGUUUUGAAUAUGAAGAUUAUGAAAUGGACUGUUGACUUCAAACCUGAGGUGAGACCUCCAUCGUUCCAGUGUGGAUCUUGAUACACCAACUGUCGUGGCAACUUUUUAAAUGGCAAAUCUUGUCAAAAUUAGUCUAAGAAAUAGAAGUGGUUGUGGCUCCUGACCAGGCUACUUUCUCAAAAACUAGGGGAAACGUGGCCAAGGUUAAAGUGGAGAUUGAUCUCCUAAAAUCGAGAUUAGAUCAAUUAUUGUUUGUUUUCAAUAGAAUGGAUGGGUCCGAGGAUGAAAAAUGGCUGAAUGUUGAAUAUGAAAAAGUCCCUGGUUACUAUCUUUAUUGUAAGAUUCAAGGUCAUAUGGAUAAUCAAUGUAGAAACAAAGUCAGGGACCAAAGAAUCAAAGCUCAAAAAUAAGAGAAAAAAAAAGCAUCAAGAAAUGGAAAAAGAGGACGAAGAGCACAAGGAUACUGAUGAUCUCCAUACUAUUUCUAGAAUACGGGGCUCAAAAUAAAGAAAGACCUUCAACAAACGACAACAAAUAGAUGCAGCGGGAAUUGAUAACUUAGAACUUUAGUCCAAAACUAUGCAAACUAACAAUAGAUAAAAAUGUAUAUCUAUAAAUGAACUAAGUGAGGUUCAAUAGAGAUUAGAAGUGGACGAAAUCAUAGGAAAGGGUAAAGAAAAGGUUGUUGACCAAUUGGAAACUACCAAAGUAAAGCAACAAAGACACACCAAUUCUAGAACCAAUUAUCAGAAAAUUAAAAAAAGCAAGUGAAGAAUGACCAAAACAAUAAUUCUCAAAAAACUCUACCUUCAAUCAUUGAAGGUUAGAAGAAUUGGGAGAAGGAAAGCAUCGACAACAACCAACCUACGGCCAAAAAUAAAGAAGUGAUUAACAUCGACUCUAACAGAAAAGCUAAUACAAUUGAGGCUACUUGUCAAAAUGACAACACUAGUAACACCAAAGAAAAAGGGGGGCCAGCAGAACCCUCGGGCUAUGAUAUCACAGGAGGAUCAUAGGAAUGAUCCUAGAAUAGUAUAUGAUAAUUAUCUUAAACUUAUCAGUGGUACCAACCUUGAAGAAGGGCAUACCACUGUUGAAGACUAUACUACUAAGGAUACUCAGAUUUUUGGAUCUUCUAAUGAAGAGAACGAUUCUAAAUAUAGGGACUAUAUUCAUGAGGGAUCAAAAGUUAGUGGAGAAUAUAAAAGUGUCAACAGUGAAGCUAAUAGUGAUGAUAAUGCUGAAAAGUUGAUAGAAACUCUCAAUAAUCAAAUAUUUGUAGAUGUUACCAUUAACUCAGACAUGAAUGCAUCUCUCUUUCUAAAUUAUAAAAAAAAGGCGCAAGUAGAGGAGGAACAACCUCAACAAGAAGCAGAGGAGGAAAACUCAACGACUAGAGGCCUCGAAAAACUUCUCAAAAUCAAAUUUUCUCUGAAUAAGCAUUAUGAUUAAGUCAUUAUAUUGGAAUAUUAGGAGAAUCAAUAUUGAUGGUGCCCUAGAAAGACUUACAAAAAUGAUUAACUUUGAAAAAUUUCCCAUUAUCAGUAUCAAUGAACUUUUCUAUAAAGAAGACAUGCUGGAAAAAUACAAAAGGCUAUUAGGCUAUUAGAAUGCCUAUUCCAAUUGUAAUAGCCAAAUUUGGCUAUUUUGGAAUGACAACCUUGAUUGCCAAAUUAUGGACAAUAAUGAUCAACAAGUUUCAAGUAUCAUCAAGAUGGACAGCACUACUGCUAUAGUAUCUUUUAUCUAUGCUAAGUGUGAUAAACACCUUAGAGAGCUCUUGUGGGAUAAACUGAGACUUAUCAACAAUAAUUAUAAGUUGCCCUGUGUUGUUACAAGUGAUUUUGAUUAUAUUAUUGACCCUGCUGAAAAAAAGGUGGUUCUCUUACAAGAUGUCAAAGAGUUUGGACUUUAUCCAUUGCAUCAUGGAUUGUGAAUUGCUUGAUGCUGGAUAUAAUGACGUUGACUAUACUUGGUGCAAUGUAUGGGCACCGAAUAGAAGAGUUUGGCAAAUACUGGACAAGGUGCUUAUUAAUCAUAAAUGGAGAAAUAAUUUUGAUUCGACUAAUGUCACCCACCUCAUUAGAACUGACUUUGAUCACUAACCUAUAUAGUUCUAAACUAAAAAGACCAACAUAGAACCCAUCAAAUAUGUCAAAUUCUUGGAUUUUUGGACCAAUGAGGUGGACUUUCUUUCCAUUGUGGAACAAGCAUGAAGCAAGGAGCAAUAUGGCUUGUGUUGACACCCAAUUUUGACCUCCCGACACUUCUUUUUGGGCUGCUAUUUUAUUUAAUUAUUAAUAUUUUUGUACACAUUAUUCUUAUAUUUGAUACAUUUUUUACGUGUUGUAUUCAUAAUUUAGAAAAAUGCAUAAAGUAUUUUAUUAACUUUUAGUACCAUUUUUAUAAUUUUUAAACUCAAAUACAACAUUUUAAACUGAGCAUAUCCACGUUUUUGCAAAUACACUAUCUAGUUUUUCAUUAUUUAGCAUUAUUUAUUUUGUUAUUAUCAAUUAUUAAUUAUUCGUUAUUAUUAUUAUUUAUUAAUUAAUAUUUAUUAUUAUUAACAUUUUAUUAUUUAUUAUUUAUUAUUUAAUAUUUAUUAUCUACUAUUAUUAUUCAUUAUUUAUUAUUGGCUAUUAUUAUUAUUAUUAUUAUCUGCCCUUAUUUAAAUAACAACCCAAUAGAAAAUCUUUGCCUAAAUUUAUUUACAUUUUAACCUGAUUUUAUCCAAUUUCUUACAAUUAUAGCCCUUUUAUUACAAUUAUAGCCAAUUUGGACUCAAUUUAAAAUAUAGUUCAAUCUUGAUCAAAUUCUUAAGCCUCCAGAUCUCAGCCGUCGAUCAAAUCUGAUCCGAUGACUGAGAUCAAAAGCCCUAUCCUUUCCUUUUUAAAACAAAAGGAGAAACCCUAACCCUAAUUUUUUUAUUUCAUCUGUAUCCCCAUACCUCUCUCUCUCCCUUCUCUCUCUUUCCUUCACUCUUUCUCGCUCAAAAGGAGGCAGACAUGGUUGCCGGCCACCCAUUAACGACGCCACCUCCCUCUCUCUUCCGCUGUUUCCUUUAUAGUGAACCAACGCCAUCAUCGACACUGCCACUGGCAAAAAUAGGCGUGUCACCGCCUCCCCCAGUCCACGUACCGCCAUUUUUUUCACUGUCAAAAGUCGACAAACGAUGACCGAUCGUCAUUUCAUCCAGCCCCGCAGAAGUCGUCGUUGCUCCGCCCCCUUCUAAUCCAUCCCAGCAAACAACGCCGUCACUGCCGCCACCACCGGCGAAAACAUCCACACCACCAACAACCGUUCUUAUCGUUCACGCCGUCACUAUAACGUCCUUGACUCCAAUUGAAGCUCGAUAUAAAGGCAUUUACAAGUACUUGGCGGAUUUACCGAUGUAAAUCCGUCGCAUGUUAAUCAAAUUAAUUAACGUUAAUUAAUCAAGAGUUUAAUUUGGGAUCAUUAUGAGCUACUUGUUGUCCGACAUGUUACGCGCUUCGAGUCCUAGCCAACAUAGCCUUACUUUUGUCUAGUACACAAAUCCAAAAUAGUAAAGUCCAAUGCCUCUUGGACGAUAGGUGGGAUGAUAAGGGUUAUUAAAAACGUUAGUUUUAUCCUUGUCAUACAACGCCUUUAGACUUGACAUCCAGCCUAGGUGGGGUAGGACGGGUAGUCAUUCAGAAGUGAUGAUCCCAACGGAUUAUUGAUGGUAAGAUUAAUGACAUUGUUACUUGUCCAAGAGUUCGACCGGUGAGUCAGACGAUGAUUAAACAAGUUGGGUUCUGAUCCGAAUGAGACUAAAAUAUUUCCUUGUUUGACUUGGACGAAUUCUUUUUAUUCUUUUAUUUAGUUUACAUGUUUAUUUAUUUGAGGUAGUUAGUUUAUUAUAAAGCAGUCCCUUUUGUUGUAAAUUAUGUUAUUUCUUUCUCCUCACUUGUCUGAUUUACAUAUUUUUAUUGAUUUUAUCACUUAGAUGAUUAAUAGCCAUAAUUAAGUUAAAUGUUUGUUAAUUACUUUCUCACCUAGAUAAACAUUAAAUUAAUAAUAAAAUAAGAGCCCCUUUGGGAGCCAUCGAACCCCUUCACGUUCAUUUUUCACGUCUGCACUUUGGACAUAUCAACCUCCAAUCUGGUCAAGGUGUUCAAAGGAAAAAUAUUCAAUCCCGGGCCUGGAUCAAUCGAUACACGAGAUAUCAUUCUCCCCUCAUACUGCAAUGUGACAUGUAGAGCCCGAUUGUGUGCUCUUCCUUCGGGCGGUAAUUCAUCAUCAUGAAGUGAAAUCUUGUAUGCCUCAAAUACUUGCCCUACCAUGUGGGCCAUUUCUCCGCCUGUUAUGGUAGCCGACAUAUAAGCUUCACCUAAGACCCUCAUCAAUGCCUUUUGAUGAUUCUAAGAAGUCUGGAGCAAUGUCAAGAUUGUAAUCUGGGCCGGAGUCUUACUCAGCUGCUCUACUACAGAGUACUCAUUUACUUAUACCUUCUUCAAGAUACUAUCUUUUUCAACCCCGGUGCCAGGUUGCUUUCCUUUUCUAGAACUUUCUUGAAGCAAGUUUUCAGGCGUCUAUAUUUUACCUAAUCUGGUGAUACCUUGUGCAACGUCUGUCUUGGCUACUUUUACUUUCCUUGGAAUAUUGAGUGCAUAAUUCCAUGGAACUACAUGAGGAUUGCACACAGUCGGGGUAGCUCUUACAACAGUAAAGGAAUAUUUGGGCGUAGCAACCUCGAUCUCAAAGGGAGCCUACUUUCGUACCAUAAUAGGAGUUCUGUUUCCUUCCUCAAUGACCCAAAUGGAGUACUCUAAGUCUACAUCAUCAUCAGCCUCGAGCAUAUUCACCUCAUGAGUAAGGAUAGGAUUAUUGGUGACGUUGGGUUCCGGGUC